GCGGAAGGAUCAUUGUCGAGACCCUCCCGGACGACCCGCGAACCCGUUCACACGCCCCGGGGGACUCGUCGAGUCCCCCCGCCCGGCGCCGGCGGCGCGCCCCGCGUUCCCCCCCCCCACCCCCGGGGGCGGCGGGCGGGCGCGCCGACGGCCCCGACAACGAACCCCGGCGCGGGACGCGCCAAGGAGAACCCCAACGAGAAGGCACGCCCCCGGCGCCCGUUCGCGGGGCGGCGGCGGCCUCUUUCGCGAACCGAAACGACUCUCGGCAACGGAUAUCUCGGCUCUCGCAUCGAUGAAGAACGUAGCGAAAUGCGAUACUUGGUGUGAAUUGCAGAAUCCCGCGAACCAUCGAGUCUUUGAACGCAAGUUGCGCCCGAGGCCGUCAGGCCGAGGGCACGUCUGCCUGGGCGUCUCGCAACGCGUCGCCCCCUCCCGCCCCGGCCGGGGGAGGGGCGGACACUGGCCCCCCGCGAGCGGCGUCUCGCGGCCGGUCUAAAAUCGACACGCCGGCGGCGGACGGCGCGGCGAGUGGUGGAGAGCGAGGAUGAUCGCGCCCCGCGUCGCGCCGCGCCCGUCCCCGCGGGCGGCCCCGAAUCAUCGACCGCGACCCCAGGUCAGGCGGGAUCACCCGCUGAGUUUAAGCAUA
rnacentral:rRNA from 1 species